rnacentral:rRNA from 1 species
UACGUAGGGUGCAAGCGUUGUCCGGAAUUAUUGGGCGUAAAGAGCUCGUAGGCGGCCUGUUGCGUCCGCUGUGAAAGCCCGGGGCUUAACCCCGGGUCGGCAGUGGAUACGGGGCAGGCUAGAGGUAGGUAGGGGAGAAUGGAAUUCCCGGUGUAGCGGUGAAAUGCGCAGAUAUCGGGAGGAACACCGGUGGCGAAGGCGGUUCUCUGGGCCUUACCUGACGCUGAGGAGCGAAAGCGUGGGGAGCGAAC